rnacentral:rRNA from 1 species
UAGAGUUUGAUCAUGGCUCAGGAUGAACGCUGGCGGCGCGCUUAACACAUGCAAGUCGAACGAUGAAGCCCAGCUUGCUGGGUGGAUUAGUGGCGAACGGGUGAGUAACACGUGAGUAACCUGCCCCCGACUCUGGGAUAAGCCUGGGAAACUGGGUCUAAUACCGGAUAUGACCUCCUACCGCAUGGUGGGUGGUGGAAAGAUUUAUCGGUGGGGGAUGGACUCGCGGCCUAUCAGCUUGUUGGUGAGGUAAUGGCUCACCAAGGCGACGACGGGUAGCCGGCCUGAGAGGGUGACCGGCCACACUGGGACUGAGACACGGCCCAGACUCCUACGGGAGGCAGCAGUGGGGAAUAUUGCACAAUGGGCGAAAGCCUGAUGCAGCGACGCCGCGUGAGGGAUGACGGCCUUCGGGUUGUAAACCUCUUUCAGUAGGGAAGAAGCGAAAGUGACGGUACCUGCAGAAGAAGCGCCGGCUAACUACGUGCCAGCAGCCGCGGUAAU